ensembl:lncRNA
CUCAGAUUACACGAUUAGGUGAAUUUCAGCUUUUUUUUUUUUCUGGUCGUGCACCUCUUUGAGAAUCUGAGGAAUGUGCUUAUUUUCUCCAGCACCCCCAAAAUGCACAGACACCCAUGCAAAAAUAAGGAGUGCAAUUCCAGAGGGCUUGUGAAGUCUCAAAAUUCCAUCCAUGCAAGACUUAACAGGGCUUGCAUAGUAUGUACAUCUCUUAGGCUAUCAACCUCCAUGUCUGUAAACAAUCUGACAGUGCUGGGAUUAUGUCCUUGUGCAGAUUAAGACAAUCAACCAGUUGUUUCUCUGAUGACAUCUUACUUUUUGAGUUCAAAAUCUCAGUGCAUACUGAGGCAUUAGUCAGCCAAGCUAUACUGAAUGGAAAUACUUUAUGUGGACAUACAUUUAGGUACAUUAAGUGCUUACUGGGGUGCGGAAUUCUUAUUCUUUUGUUUCUCCAUAUAGGUAUCCAGUUUGGGGUGGAAAUCCACAGGCUCAAGGAUAUUCAAUUAUGCUUUAUGGUCCUCCAUUUUAAUAUAUUUUAAUGUAAUAUUAUACUACGGUUAUAGGUUCUUUACAUGCCUAUUACCUCACUUUUGGCUCUCUCUACCUUUGUUAAAUGUUUAUGUUUCAUAUCCCUCCCCCCUCCGCCCUGCCUCCUUUCAGUAGAUGCACAUGGUCCCAAGGGUUCUCCUGUAGCUCAUCAACGUGGCUACCUUUCCAGGAGGAAUUAUGAAUUAGAGGGACAAAAUGGGGGAAAAAGGAAGACUCUAAUGAAAACUCAGCCACUGCUCUGAAUUCACUUGUGAUUGGAUUCUCAGGCAGAAGCCGUGUGAAAAACAGCAUUCAUCACAUCACUGGCGCUGGACCCACACAAUACCUGUGCGCGAAGGGGUGAAUUAAUUAUUUUGCAGGGAGCCAACUAUUUUUCUAGCAAUGGAUGCCUCCAAUUACUCAGUCUCCAAAGUGCCAGCCCAGCCUGGCCGCCUUAACUCUUCAUUUUCUUUCUUUUGGGGGUUAGAGCGAACACUUCAACCUGGCGGUUUUUUCACUAAAGAACAUAGUAAAUGACAGAGGUCUGGAAGAAUAUAUUUCCUCCAAAGCUGGUGACCAAUUAGUUGCUUGCCACUGACUGUCAUUUCACUGCUCUGAGUACCGUGUUCUUGUAGCUUGGUGAUAGACACACUGUUUAUUUUCCACUUUACAGUCUUUGCCAAUACUCCGAGUCCCACACAGCUGCCUUUAAUGCUGCUCUUCUAGAAAGCUGGUGACAGGGGAAAAGAUAAAAGGUACGUGUGAGUGGCUAAAUGGCAACCCUGAGCAGACUUAUCUAGGGUGCAAAGUAAAGAGAAUAGUUAUUUUACUACCUCACCUUUUAUUUUAAUGCUUCCAAAUGAAAUUGUGGAAAACCCUCAGCCGAUGAGGUUAACGCCAAAAGACAUAAGUACUGCGGCUAAAGACUCUGUGAGGGUUAUUAAGCUGUUGACAAUAUGAGAAUCAGACACUAUCACCACUGGUUCCAUAAUUGUCUUUGGUCUAUGAGCCACUUCCCCUCCACCCACCCCCCACACCCAACUUUUAUGAUUCAUCAUAUUUAUUUUUUGUUUCCUCAAGCAACAUCUUUUAUUAGUCGCACACCCACUGCAGAAAUUUAAUUUCUGCAAGAGAACAACAAAGCAGUUGAUUAUUAUUAUUGAGAAUCUGGUACAACAUCCAGUGAAAUAAAAUCUAUAAGGCAUUAAAAUGACAGAUUAGGCAAGAGCUGUAUUCAUUUACAAGUGUUAGAACAUCAUGCUAAUGCCUCACAAGCACAACAUAAAAUGAAAAUCAACUCUUUCAUGCUGCUUUACGAAGGAACGCUGCGAAGCUCCCAGGAACAGAAGCCAGAGUCUCUGUUAAAGAGGCACUGUCCUUUUGUGGUGCGCUCAGGAGUUCAUCCUUGAUGGAACACAAAUAAAAACACUCCUCUCUUAUGCACAGCCGGAAGCACUCCAUGCUUAUCCUUUGGUCAGCCCAAACUAAACACUGCUAAUCCUGGCAAGAUUUAAAGCAUUCACAUGCACCUCGUUUUUUUAAUGGAGAACCACACUUCACCUAUUAGGCAACCUGCACUUUUCAUAUCCGGCCUGGAAACUGAAGAGAAAGCAAGAGAAAAGAGCCCCUGCAAUCAGCAAUUCAGAGUUAUUGUUCCACAUAACAAAGCCCUGAGAAUUUAUAUAUACUUUGAUCACUCAGUGCCUAUUAACUCUUAUUUUAGACAGAAUAUUUAUGUUUUUUAUAUUGCAUGUUGCAGCUCAAGGUAGAUAAGAAGCAAAUUACAAGAAUGCUAGAGAAUAUGAGGCCGAAACUUCUAAAAACUGUAAGAGAGCAGACACAAUUAUAUCAUAGAUAGAAUGUCUCAAAUAAUCUCCAAGGCCACCAUACCUGAGGGGACCUUUGUAAGAGAACAGAACAAAUAAAUCCUAGACUCUUGACAUAAGAGAGAGAAAAGGAAUCAGGACGGGACCAACAAAAUAUUUAAAGUACUAAAAAUGUAAGUGCUUGGAAGCCAAAAUUUCAUAUAUGAAGAAGUAUUUAUUUUCUGAUGAUACUGAACUUAAAAAGGUGUGGCUCAUAUAUUUUAUACAUAGGAAGGUAUAUAUCUUAAACAUAUGAUACACAAUGUAUUCAAAAACAUAUAGAUAUAUAAUGUAUUUCACUAUAUAUUACUAACUACAUGUGAAAUAAUCCCACCAGCAGAUAAACAAAUGACAUUUUUUUUUUAAUUAGUGAGCUUUAAGAGAUUUACCUCAGAUCGAUUGAGUAGUUAAUUCUCCGAAGGCAACACGUUCCUUGAACCAAAAUAUCAAAAAGUCUGAUUUCUUGGUUCUAGUAUGGGAGGCACUUAAGUAAUGAGGAACAUUAGAGUGACUCUGUUGAAUAGCUUCUCGUAAUACAGCAGACAGAAGUGGGUAACACCGUAGAGGGUUCUCA